rnacentral:rRNA from 1 species
AUUGAACGCUGACGGCAGGCCUAACACAUGCAAGUCGAGCGGAUGAAGGGAGCUUGCUCCUGGAUUCAGCGGCGGACGGGUGAGUAAUGCCUAGGAAUCUGCCUGGUAGUGGGGGAUAACAUCCGGAAACGGGCGCUAAUACCGCAUACGUCCUGAGGGAGAAAGUGGGGGAUCUUCGGACCUCACGCUAUCAGAUGAGCCUAGGUCGGAUUAGCUAGUUGGUGGGGUAAAGGCCUACCAAGGCGACGAUCCGUAACUGGUCUGAGAGGAUGAUCAGUCACACUGGAACUGAGACACGGUCCAGACUCCUACGGGAGGCAGCAGUGGGGAAUAUUGGACAAUGGGCGAAAGCCUGAUCCAGCCAUGCCGCGUGUGUGAAGAAGGUCUUCGGAUUGUAAAGCACUUUAAGUUGGGAGGAAGGGCAGUAAGUUAAUACCUUGCUGUUUUGACGUUACCAACAGAAUAAGCACCGGCUAACUUCGUG